rnacentral:rRNA from 1 species
GAUGAACGCUGGCGGCGUGCCUAAUACAUGCAAGUCGAGCGAACAGAUGAGGAGCUUGCUCCUCCGACGUUAGCGGCGGACGGGUGAGUAACAUGUGGACAACCUACCUAUAAGACUGGGAUAACUUCGGGAAACCGGAGCUAAUACCGGAUAAUAUAUUGAACUGCAAGGUUCAAUAGUGAAAGACGGUUUUGCUGUCACUAAUAGAUGGAUCCGCGCCUCAUUAGUUUGUUGGCAAGGUAACGGAUUACCAAGGCAACGAGGCUGAAACGACCCGAGGGCGACGUCCGCCACCCGGUAUGUGAGGCACGGUCGCGACUCCUGCGGUGGGCCACGGUACGGACUCCUCCGGGAUGCGGCAGUGCCUAACGGUGCACCACCGCCUGAGUGAUGAAGGACCUCUGAUCGUUGAGCUCUGUUAUUCUUGAAGUUCAAAUGUGUAAGUAACUAUGCACGUCUUGACGGUACCUGGUGAGAAAGCCCCGGCUAACUCCGUG